rnacentral:lncRNA from 1 species
UCCUCAUUCUGAUGGACUUUUGUCUGUUCCUCAAGGGAAUCCUCCUGAUAGCCAUCAAUCUGUUGCAAGAAUAGAUGGCCAGAGCUCUGUGAUUCCAGGGUUGAACAGACAAGAUUAUGACCAGUUGAUGAAUUUAUUACACCAGACCAAGUUAGGGGAUUCCACUGCUCAAACUCCUCCUCCCUUAUAUGCUGCAAACUUUGCUGGUACUAUGUUAACUGAG